CCUACGGGUGGCAGCAGUGGGGAAUAUUGCACAAUGGGGGAAACCCUGAUGCAGCGACGCCGCGUGAGCGAUGAAGUAUUUCGGUAUGUAAAGCUCUAUCAGCAGGGAAGAAAAUGACGGUACCUGACUAAGAAGCCCCGGCAAACUACGUUCCAGCCGCCGCGGUAAUAUGUAGGGGGCAAGCGUUACCUGGAUCUACUGGGUUAGACGGGUGCGGAGGGGGGGCGACAAGUCGGCGGUCAGAUGUCGGGGCUCAACCCCGGCCUGCCGUCGAAACUGCCGUCCUGGAGUGGGCGAAAGGCGAGCGGAAUGCGUGGUGUAGCGGUGAAAUGCAUAGAUAUCACGCAGAACCCCGAUUGCGAAGGCAGGGCGCCGGGGCGCGACUGACGCUGAGGCACGAAAGCAUGGGUAUCGAACAGGAUUAGAUACCCUUGUAGUC
rnacentral:rRNA from 1 species